CAAAAGCCUUGACUAUCACUAAAGAAAAUAUCAGCAAGAAAUAGACAAACUUCAAUUACAGGAGAUUGUGUCAUGCUGGCAUUGGCUGACAGCUUAGCUGUCCAAGCUCCUUGUACACUCAGGAAAGAGAGACCUCUGUGGAAGGCAAUUCAUGCCAGACUAAGAAAACUGAUCAAGAUGAAAGGAAUAAAUAGCUCUCAGGAGAAUGCCUGCCUUUAUGUACUUAUGGAAGAAGAUGGCUAAUCCUAGAUGCUCAGCUGUGUUAACGCCUAGGUGUUCUUGGACAUAUUCACCUGGUCGCAUUAAUCCUGGGAUGCCCUAAUUGUUUCAAGAAGCCUCUUCUGAACAUAAAAGAUCUGGAAAAUUCAUUGAAUUAUAUGUAUAUAUGUAUAUAUAUUGCCUUUUAAAUCAGCG
rnacentral:lncRNA from 1 species